GACGAACGCUGGCGGCGUGCUUAACACAUGCAAGUCGAACGAGAUCCAAUGUGUAGCAAUACACAGGAAGAUCUAGUGGCGAACGGGUGAGGAACACGUGAGAAACGUACCUCAGACUUUGGGAUAACAGUCCGAAAGGACUGCUAAUACCAAAUAACGUCGGAAGUCCGCAUGGACAUCUGACGAAAGGGAUUCCGGUUUGGGAGCGUCUCGCGGACCUAUCAGCUAGUUGGAGGGGUAACGGCCCACCAAGGCAACGACGGGUAGCUGGUCUGAGAGGAUGGUCAGCCACACUGGGACUGAGACACGGCCCAGACUCCUACGGGAGGCAGCAGUGGGGAAUCUUGCGCAAUGGGCGAAAGCCUGACGCAGCAACGCCGCGUGCGGGAAGAAGGCUUUCGGGCUGUAAACCGCUUUCAGUAGGAACGAAACUGACGGUACCUACAGAAGAAGGAGCGGCCAACUAUGUG
rnacentral:rRNA from 1 species